rnacentral:sRNA from 1 species
CUCACGCCGCGGCGGCACAAAGCCUUGAAACAAAAGAAAGUCAAUAAAAAAUAAACGCCAAUAAAAAAUCUUU